UAGGGAAUCUUCCACAAAUGGACGCAAGUCUGAUGGAGCAACGCCGCGUGAGUGAAGAAGGGUUUCGGCUCGUAAAGCUCUGUUGUUAAAGAAGAACGUGGGUAAGAGUAACUGUUUACCCAGUGACGGUAUUUAACCAGAAAGCCACGGCUAACUACGUCCCAG
rnacentral:rRNA from 1 species